AAUCUUUGAAAACCAAAUAUGGAGUGGAAAUGGACCAAUAAUAAUAAGGAUGGCAAAUAUAUCACACUUUUUGAACACCACAUUAUGUCCGCAGCAUUAAUUAAUCAAGAUUGGAAUUGGAAGCUAAUGGUGAAAAAUCGUGACAAAAUCUUCUUGAUGGAUCAGUCUUGAUGGAUACAAAAACCAGUCCCACCACCAUUCUAAAAUUAACACCGACGUCGAAAGUCUCCCCUCUCCACUUAAUUUUGGAAGACACGCCGAAAAAACGAUUCGACACCAUCGGCGACUACGCCGCAGCAAGGAAAUAAUAAACUGCAACAACUCAGA